rnacentral:snRNA from 1 species
UAGCUCUGUUUUCUCUUCAAAACAAGUCUUUCGCCUUUUACUAAAGACUUCCGUGGAGAGGAAUACUGGCGAGUUGAUAUGAUUUUUGGCAGGCUCUACCUGCGGGCAG